rnacentral:tRNA from 1 species
GGAGAAAUCGCGUAGUUGGUCGAGCGCGCACGACUGGAAAUCGUGUAACCGCCAGAAGCGGUUCGAGGGUUCGAAUCCCUCUUUCUCCG